CCUAAUACCUAUUAAAAGUCCUCGCCUUCCAUCAUGGUCGAGAGUGAAAAUAUCCCCUGACGUUCCUUCAUUCAUUCAUCGCCAUUGGCUGACUGUUCCCAUUUCGCCAAAUUGUUCUCUGCGAAUUCCAUUACCCUCGAUAACAGUCGACGAUGAUGGAAGAAUCCGGUACAGUUGAAGCAGAUGCGCCGCAACAGUCUGCAUUUCCGCCGGACUCAGUUCCGACUGUUGUUACGCCUCCUGUUCCGGUGCAAAACUCCACUACUUCUCAGCCUGAAGCAGAUAUUCAUCCUCCAUCUGUUCUACCGGACGCAAUUCUGGUUCCGAGUGUGGCUCCAGCUCCGGUUCUGUCUCCGAAUCCCUCUGAUCCGACUCAACUCUCCUUGUACAAAAAUCAUUUGCACGAGUACACCCAAAAGUCAAGGAUCCAAUUACCUGUAUAUCAGACUUUCAAUGAAGGAUCCCUAGGUGUGCCUAAAUACAGGUCAACUGUGAUGGUUGAUGAGGUACAUUAUGUGUCUCCUAAUACAUUCCGUAAUCGAAAGGCGGCUGAGCAAGAUGCUGCGAGAAUUGCCUUUGAGUACAUAUCGAAAAAGACAAAGGAUGAUGGCUUUCUUCUCCUCCGUGAGGAUUUGAUGUCAUGCAAGUCCAUUUUGUCUGAAUAUACGGACAAAAUGAGUUUGAAAAGACCUAUAUACACAACUAAACACCAUAAAGGCUCGGUUCCAUUUUUCCAAUCCACUUUGGAUUUUGAUGGUGUGGUCUAUACUAGUGAUGUUAGUCGGAGUAAGAAAGAGGCAGAGCAAUUGGCAGCACGUGCUGCUAUUCUUUCACUUCAUGGAGAUGCAAGAAAUCCUAAAUCACAAAAAACUCUUGCGGAAAUCAUUGCAUCUAAAGUCAGAUUCCAUGCAACGUUGCAAAAGGUUAAAGAUUCACAUUUUUCUCAAAUUCAACCGAAAUCCAUGCCUGAAAAUAAAGUGGAACAUGUUGCAAUGACAGUUGAUGAAAAUAAAGAAGUUAAAGAUGCUAUUUUGGACAAUGGAGUGGUAUGCGGUGCAAUUUCAGAAGUUUGUCCAACUUCUCAUUUUCGACCUGAAUUUAGAUCAACAAAACCGGAAGCAUCAUCCCCUCCAGUGAGACUCCCAAUAGAAUUUGUGCCUUCAACUUUAGAGGAGCCUGUUGGUGAUCAUGCUCGUGCAACUGGCUCUAAAAGGAGAUCUAAGAACAAGAGAAAGGCACGUAAGAAGCUGUGUAUGGAGAACCAGGUACUAUAUAAUUGUUUACCGUAAACACCAGUCUUGUUACGACUAGAGCUAUUCAAUUUGCAUGUUCAUGGAGACAAGAGAAUGAUCGAAAUUUCUGUAGUAAGACUACUAGGCUGCAAUUCCUUUCAAUAAAAAGGGUGACUACCGAGACGAGUCAAACUGCUCCUUGCUCCGUAGCUCAAUGACUGUGAAGUGACUUGUACUAUAAGGUUGUCCUUAGGAGCCAUAGAAAAAGCAUCACAGAUUGGUUGAUUAAGCUUCCUCCUGGCUGUUUAGGCGUAUAAAAAUGAUGCUUUGAAUUAAUUGCUUAUAUUUGGUCAAUGCAGGGGUUUGAAAUUAUAUCACAUUCGGCUUUUUGGUUGGAAAACGAUUUUGGCAUUGAAAGCGAGAGUGCAAUUGCUUUCGGAAUAAUGUCAAAUAGCCUGCACUAGAAAGGUUCUUGUAAUUGUUUUGACAAAACCUAAGCAUGUGUUAAUUGUUUAUUUGUAUUUGUAUUUUUAUUUUAAGAGGUUUAGGUAGUCUAGGUUUAAAAAAUCUGUCUUUGUGCAGUUCUAGCAGAUUUAGGAAGCUUGAGAAUGGAGGGUAAAUUUAAAAAUUUGGGUUGUGAAAUAUUUAGUUGUAUUCAAAUAAUGGUUGAUUUUAUAUUAGUUUAAAUUUGUCAUCUUUA